rnacentral:lncRNA from 1 species
UCACCACUUUGUCGUUGUUGCCAGAAGUGCUCGAAGCUGGGCAGACAAACACUAAAUACAUAGUUUUGUCUAGCAAAUAGAGGCGAGGUAUGAAAAAUUCAGGGCUCAAAAACUUGACUGCAUGCCAUAAAAAAUAGAUCAAGGGAAGACAAAUUUAGCACGAGACAUGCAUCAAAAGCACAAAUUAUUAUGGAGGUGUGGAACUUGAAGUGCCCACGACUCGAUUGUCCUAGUACUCGUCCAGCGGAGUGCCCU